AAGUAUCCUUACUGACUUAGCCAUAUUGCCAACUCUGUUUUCUUUUCCUAAUAUUUUGAUAUCUAUAGAAAAGUUAUGGGCUGGAGAGAUGGCUCAGUGGUUAAGAGCACCCGACUACUCUUCCAGAGGUCCUGAGUUCAAUUCCCAGCAACCACAUGGUGGCUCACAACCAUCUGUAAAGAGAUCUGAUCCCCUCUUCUGGUGUGUCUGAAGACAGCUACAGUGUACUUAUAUAUAAUAAAUGAAUAAAUUUAAAAAAGAAAAAAAA
rnacentral:lncRNA from 1 species